GACGAAAGAUGUACAUGCAUAGUAGAGCAAAGUUGGCACAGAAAAAUGUUUCACAUCUGAAAGAAGUUAAUGAUGAAGACAAGCUAUUUUGUUUGUUACUAGUUAAGGAGAUUAAAAAAAUUCCGGAAUAUAGACGACUUCAGAAUAAAAUUACCAUUUAUAAUUUAAUUUCCCAAAACUAAAAUGUUCUUCAAGGACCGCAACAUUAGACAUUUGAAAAUCGAUAUUAUCGUAACUCGGUACCACAACGCAAACAUUAUUUAUCACAAGAGCAGCAUAAUCAAUCUUUAUUAUUAUGGUUAUACUACAGCAAUGGGAUCUCCAGGAACACACGCCCCAUCGCCAGCAGUGAAUCGGUGUUAUUCUAUUUCUGGUUUGUUUUUGAAGCAGUCCGUCAGAUGCACGUAUGUUUUAGUUUUAGUUCCAUACUCAAGUAAAGAGUCACAUCCUUGCAUCUAAAGAGCCGUUUGUGGUUCGCGAGCCGCGGGUUACCGCCUUCUAAUCUAUACUAAUCAAGAUCUAAUAUUAUAAGGGGAGGUCAUAUUUCCUUCUUCCCAAUCUAAGUAGCUUUUUAUCCAUCGAAUUUGGUAGAGAUCAUUGCUCAUAGCUACAUCAUGGUUGUUUUGCCUUAAAUACUCAAAUUUUAUACAGACAAAAUAUAAUUAUCCUCAAGAAUUUUAAAGAGACUGAAAUAUAAAACAUUAUAGUCAAUAAACGUUAACCUGGAUAAUUAAAUAACAAGUUUUCUCAUUCUGUUGAUGGUAACAUGUUUCCCUAAAAAUUACCAGUUUUCUAAUAAUUUUGAAUACCAUACUAGAAGCAACUGGCAAAAAUCUCAUUGUAUAGAUGCUACAUGCACUUAUGAUGUGUAAUCCUAAUUUUCCUAAGUUUAUUUAAAAUGUAAGCCGACUUUAAUCUAAUGGUUAAGAAUAUGGGAGGGUAUCGUAUUAUUGUUUCACAUGUUUAUUUACUUACUUUGUUUAUACAUGUUAUAUAAGGUAUUCCUUACAGUCAUUUCGGUUCCCUCUUGGUGUCCCACUAAAUGUUGUUGGGAAAUUUUGAAUAUUUUCCUUCUUUUUUAAUGAAACAUACCGUUUUUACUGCUAUUUUCAACGCAGUUGCCACUCUCUGAAACAUACAAUAAAAAUAGAAAUUUCUUUAAAUAGAUGUCAACUUUAGUAUAAUACCUCCUGAACAUAUGAAAGAGGUUUGCCAGCCAUUUUCUAAAAAUAAUUGCCAAAAGUUGAUAAUGUAUUAUAUUUGUACUUACUUAUGUAAAAUUAAAAAGUCAAAUUAGCUCUUAAAAAACUCAUUUAACAAUAAAUACAUGUUCAAUCCAAUAAUUCCCUAUAAACAACACAGUAAACAAAGCUCACGUCAAAUCAAUUAUAUAGUUGUCUCUUUUUACGAUUACUACUAUUAGUUUAAAGAAACUAUUACGUGUAUCUUGAAGUUAGUCUGGUGAAGAAGACAAUGGAUCUUAAGUUAUCAUGAUGAUUUUUAUUGACAUAAGAAGAUAGUAUGUGUUUGAUCAAUUGUAGAUUGAGUCACGUGAUGGAAGACUUCCACCGAUCCGACUUUAGUGUCAGCAUAUCGUAAAGUUUAAUAUCAAUUUAAAAGUUUAAAAAAGAAACUGUCCAAAAACAAAAUAAGGAAAGAUACUUUAACAAUAUAGAAAAAUAACGUCCAUAGUACCAAGCACUUCAGUUGUUAAAAACAUUUUUGUAGCCUCAUUGUGGCAAUAAAUUAUAUUAAUCUUAAAUAUUAAAUAUAGAAUGCUUGUUAUAUAAAAAUAUUGUAAUAUAUAUUUAGUCAAUAUACACAUAAUUAAUCCCAA